UAGUCCAUGCUGUAAACGAUGAGUACUAGCUGUUGGUUCUGGUGUAAAAGGACUAGUAGCGAAGCAAACGCGCUAAGUACUCCGCCUGGGGACUACGGCCGCAAGGCUAAAACUCAAAGAAAUUGACGGGGACCCGCACAAGCGGUGGAGCAUGUGGUUUAAUUCGAUGCAACGCGAAGAACCUUACCUGCUCUUGACAUACCAAGAACUUUACAGAGAUGUAGAGGUGCCUUAGGGAACUUGGAUACAGGUGCUGCAUGGCUGUCGUCAGCUCGUGUCGUGAGAUGUUGGGUUAAGUCCCGCAACGAGCGCAACCCUUAUUGCCAGUUACCAUCAUUAAGUUGGGGACUCUGGUGAGACUGCCGUGGAUAACACGGAGGAAGGUGGGGGACGAUGUCAAGUCAUCAUGGGCCCUUACGAGCAGGGGCUACACACGUGCUACAAUGGGGUAUUACAGAGGGGAUGCGAAGCUGCGAAGUGGGAGCGAAACCC
rnacentral:rRNA from 1 species